rnacentral:lncRNA from 1 species
GAAAUGGGGAAUGUGCCAAAGAGACAACAACCCGACCAUAGAAAAAAACAACAGCAGAAGGUCACCAACAGGUCUUCAAUGUAGCGAGAAAUUCCCGCACCCGGAGGCGUCCUUCAACUGGCCCCUAAACAAAUAUAUACUAGUUCAGUGAUAAUGAACGCCAUACUAAUUUCCAAAUUGUACACAAGAAACUAAAAUUAAAAUAAUACAAG